rnacentral:lncRNA from 1 species
GGGAGGGGGGCCUCUGGGGGGCUGGGAGGUGGGGAGAGAUGUAAAUAGAGUUUGGACGAUCGGGAGAGAGGGAAGGCUCUCCAAGACCAGGGGCGUCGGGGGGCAGAAGCCCUCCAAGUGUAGGGGCGCUCGGGGACCCCAGCGUAGGCAGGCGGGGAGAGACCGCGCCAGCAAGGCGCGCCCCGGGAGCCGGUGCUGGAGGGGCGAGCGCACGCGACCCUUUUGUGUGCGGGCCCGAGUCCCCCCGGGGGGCGGCAGCGGCACAGAGAACUCACCCACGGUGGCCCGCAUGUGGAAGUCGUCCGGCCGGAACAACCAUGCUUGAAAAGGACUUAUUAAGGACUUGGGGGAGAACUGAUUUAACAUCAAUGUUUUUCAAGGAACAUCGGCUCUGUGUUGUCUCACCCAGCCCCACCAAGCAAUUACAUGGUUUUGAUACAGACUGAACCGGUUGCUAUGAUUAUGCUAACCAUCUAAUCCAAUGCAUAAUAAAAGUGCCACGACAAGCCUAAUUACUAUAUAGUUAAGUAUAAUGUGAAGUUUCCCAGCUAAUGGGACCACGUUCUUUGCAAGGAAAGGAAUGUGUGUGAGUGUGUGUGUGUGUGUGUGUGUGUUUGCAUCAGUAAUUAUAGUGGUAUUACAGUGGUUCGGAAAAAAAAGAAGGGGGG